GCCUACAGCCACACCACCCUGAUAGCGCCUGAUCUCAAAAGCCAUCCAGGGCCGGGCCUGGUUAGUACCUGGAUGCGAGAUGCCUGUGAAUACCAGGUGUCAUAGGCU
rnacentral:rRNA from 1 species